rnacentral:tRNA from 1 species
GGGGGCGUAGCUCAGUGGGAGAGCACCUGCUUUGCAAGCAGGGGGUCGUCGGUUCAAUCCCGACCGUCUCCA